AACCUUAUGGACCUGCGGGCGUAUACCUGCGGAAGGAUCAUUAUCGAGUUGCAAAACUCCAACCCUUUGUGAACAUACCUCAGUCGUUGCUUCGGCGGUGGACGGCCUGUUUUUCGGAACGGCCGGAAGCCGCCGGAGGUUCCAAACUCGUAUUUUUUUAGUGUAUCUCUGAGCCUGAAAACAAAUAAUCAAAACUUUCAACAAUGGAUCU
rnacentral:misc_RNA from 1 species